GUUAAUUAUAAAAAAUAAAUAUGCGUGUAGCAUUGAAACAUUAACAAAAAGUAUACGAACAUUACGAGUACGAUGUGUGUAAAAUCAAAAACUGUUCAGCGAACAAUAGGAAUUUUCCAAAUCAUAUAAUCUCUAUACUCGUAUCAAAAGUUAAACGCAUAUUUCACUUUGAAGAGUUAGUUUUCGGAAUUUCUGAGUAGUUUGAAUAUGUAGCCAAGAAACAACGAAAUAAAAAAUAUACAGAAACGUACGAUUGCAGUGAGUUGUGUGAAAAGAGACGAGUGAUCCUGCACUAUAAUACAUUACGAGAUGACAAAAGCAUAAUAUCUUUGGAAAUUCAACAUUAAAAUCAUGUAAAAUUUUCAUUCACUAAUUAAAAGGGGAUACACUAG